CGGCGGACGGGUGAGUAACACGUGGAUAACCUACCUAUAAGACUGGGAUAACUUCGGGAAACCGGAGCUAAUACCGGAUAAUAUUUUGAACCGCAUGGUUCAAAAGUGAAAGACGGUCUUGCUGUCACUUAUAGAUGGAUCCGCGCUGCAUUAGCUAGUUGGUAAGGUAACGGCUUACCAAGGCAACGAUGCAUAGCCGACCUGAGAGGGUGAUCGGCCACACUUGAACUGAGACACGGUCCAG
rnacentral:rRNA from 1 species